AGCGAACGCUGGCGGCAGGCUUAACACAUGCAAGUCGAACGCAUCCUUCGGGGUGAGUGGCAGACGGGUGAGUAACACGUGGGAACGUACCCUUCGAUCUGGGAUAACUUCGGGAAACUGGAGCUAAUACCGGAUACGCCCUUUUGGGGAAAGGUUUACUGUCGAAAGAUCGGCCCGCGUCUGAUUAGCUAGUUGGUGGGGUAACGGCCUACCAAGGCGACGAUCAGUAGCUGGUCUGAGAGGAUGAUCAGCCACACUGGGACUGAGACACGGCCCAGACUCCUACGGGAGGCAGCAGUGGGGAAUAUUGGACAAUGGGCGCAAGCCUGAUCCAGCCAUGCCGCGUGAGUGAUGAAGGCCUUAGGGUUGUAAAGCUCUUUUGUCCGGGACGAUAAUGACGGUACCGGAAGAAUAAGCCCCGGCUAACUUCGUG
rnacentral:rRNA from 1 species